AGAAUGGAUCUUGGAGAAUGCUUGAAAGUACAUGACCUGGCUUUAAGAGCAGAUUAUGAAAUUGCAUCCAAAGAACAAGACUUUUUCUUUGAACUUGAUGCCAUGGAUCAUCUACAGUCAUUCAUUGCAGAUUGUGAUAGAAGAACAGAAGUGUCUAAGAAAAGAUUAGCAGAAACUCAAGAAGAGAUAAGUGCUGAAGUGGCAGCAAAGGCAGAGCGUGUUCAUGAGUUAAAUGAGGAAAUAGGCAAGUUGUUGGCCAAAGUGGAACAACUGGGAGCUGAAGGAAAUGUGGAAGAAUCUCAGAAAGUCAUGGAUGAAGUAGAGAAAGCACGGGCAAAGAAAAGAGAAGCAGAGGAAGUUUAUCGGAAUUCUAUGCCAGCUUCCAGCUUUCAACAGCAGAAACUUCGUGUCUGUGAAGUCUGUUCUGCAUAUUUAGGUCUUCAUGAUAAUGACCGACGACUUGCUGAUCAUUUUGGGGGUAAAUUGCAUCUGGGAUUUAUUGAAAUAAGAGAGAAGCUCGAAGAAUUAAAGAGAGUUGUAGCUGAGAAGCAGGAGAAGAGAAACCAGGAACGUCUGAAACGAAGAGAAGAGAGGGAGAGAGAAGAACGGGAGAAACUGAGGAGAUCUAGAUCCAGAGAGCAUCGCAGACACCGAUCUCGCUCCAUGUCACGAGAACGCAAGAGGAGGACUCGAUCAAAAUCUCGUGAGAAACGCCAUCGCCACAGGUCCCGGUCCAGUAGCAGAAGCCGCAGCCGAAGCCACCAGAGAAGUCGGCACAGUUCAAGAGAUAGGAGCAGAGAGCGAUCCAAGAGGAGAUCCUCAAAAGAAAGAUUCAGAGAUCAAGACUUAGCAUCACGUGACAGAGACAGGAGUUCAAGAGACAGAUCACCCCGUGACCGAGAUCGAAAAGAUAAGAAGCGGUCCUAUGAGAGUGCUAAUGGCAGAUCAGAAGACAGGAGGAGCUCUGAAGAGCGUGAAGCAGGGGAGAUCUAACUAGCUGUGUACAUAUCUUCAAUCCUUAAACUUCCUAUGGCGCUACAUGCUAUUGUUUAGUUUACAGCUGUUCAGAUGACAGUGAACAGUUCUAGACACCAAUCCAGUCAGGCUAGAUGUCUAGUAUCCAAUGAUCUGAACUGAACCUGCUCUCCUUGAUGAAGCCUAAAACUACAUCCAUAGUUUUUUGUGAACCUGAACGUAACAGUUUAUAUUAUGAGACACUGUUGUCUAUUUCUUAGGAGCGAUAGUAAAUGAAUUGUGUUGAUGCCUUGCAGUUUUUGAACAUUUGUAAAAUACUGUUUUCCUUUCUAUUCCAAACAGCAGCAGCUUUAGGAAAUCCUUUUUCUUUAUAAUUCUUCCUUUGACUUU
rnacentral:lncRNA from 1 species